AGCUGAGCCCACUGAUACUCAGGAAAUCAUUCGGAGAAAUUCAAGCAAUAUCAGUACAGUACAGAUGCAGGUUCCCUAAGGUACCAAACCCAAGUGAAAACUCACAUGGUCGAGCUGAACAUGGUGCUGUCACCAGGCAGCUGCAAAAGACAAGAUCACAUUUCUGACCUCUCAGUUUCUGUUUCAUGCCAAAGAUCAGCACUGUUGAUAUUGGAAGCUGUUUGCCUGAAGAGCAACCACCAACCUCUUGAUGAUUUGUGAAGCAAGCUGGAGUUGAUUUGUGUAAGAGGAAGGAAUGAUGUUCUGUUUUAUUCUACCAGCAUCUCAAAGCCUUUCUGCUAUGACACUUAAGCCCUACAGGAGUUCUGUACCCAAGGUAGCAAAUCUUUGUGUCUAGAGGUAGGCUCAGGCUCCCUCAUCAAUUAAUUAAUGAAGGCUAAGUGU